rnacentral:rRNA from 1 species
GUAGUCAUAUGCUUGUCUCAAAGAUUAAGCCAUGCAUGUCUAAGUAUAAGCAAUUUAUACAGUGAAACUGCGAAUGGCUCAUUAAAUCAGUUAUAGUUUAUUUGAUAGUACCUUACUACUUGGAUAACCGUGGUAAUUCUAGAGCUAAUACAUGCUAAAAACCCCGACUGUUUGGGAGGGGUGUACUUAUUAGAUAAAAAAUCAAUGCCUUCGGGCUCUUUGAUGAUUCAUAAUAACUUCUCGAAUCGCAUGGCUUCAUGCUGGCGAUGGUUCAUUCAAAUUUCUGCCCUAUCAACUGUCGAUGGUAGGAUAGUGGCCUACCAUGGUGGCAACGGGUAACGGGGAAUAAGGGUUCGAUUCCGGAGAGGGAGCCUGAGAAACGGCUACCACAUCCAAGGAAGGCAGCAGGCGCGCAAAUUACCCAAUCCUAAUUCAGGGAGGUAGUGACAAUAAAUAACGAUACAGGGCCCCUAUGGGUCUUGUAAUUGGAAUGAGUACAAUGUAAAUACCUUAACGAGGAACAAUUGGAGGGCAAGUCUGGUGCCAGCAGCC